UCUGGUUCAGGACGAACGCUGGCGGCGUGCCUAAUACAUGCAAGUCGAACGGUCUUUUCUAUGGAAGCUUGCUUCCACUGAAAAGAUAGUGGCGAACGGGUGAGUAACACGUGGGUAACCUGCCCAUAAGAGGGGGAUAACAUCCGGAAACGGGUGCUAAUACCGCAUAGUUUUCUUGAUCGCAUGAUCGGGAAAGGAAAGACGGCCUUUGUGCUGUCGCUUAUGGAUGGACCCGCGGCGUAUUAGUUAGUUGGUGAGGUAACGGCUCACCAAGACGAUGAUACGUAGCCGACCUGAGAGGGUGAUCGGCCACAUUGGGACUGAGACACGGCCCAAACUCCUACGGGAGGCAGCAGUAGGGAAUCUUCCGCAAUGGACGAAAGUCUGACGGAGCAACGCCGCGUGAGUGAAGAAAAGGUUUUCGGAUCGUAAAACUCUGUUGUCAGAGAAGAACAAGUUGGAGAGUAACUGCUCCAGCCUUGACGGUAUCUGACCAGAAAGCCACGGCUAACUACGUGCCAGCAGCGGC
rnacentral:rRNA from 1 species